GGCUUAGGUGAUGAAUUAGAAGAAGUCAUCGUUGAGAAAACGAAACAGACGGUGGCCUCAAUCUCAUCUGGUCCAAAACACACACA
rfam:Human rhinovirus type 14 polyprotein gene.